UGUGGGGGUUUUAUUUCAAAGUUUGGUAAUGUUUUAUUAACCAGAAAUAUGCCAUGGAAUUUAACUCUUAUUUAUAUCAAUUAGCCUAUGAUAAAGUUGGUU